rnacentral:rRNA from 1 species
AAGCUAAGAACCUUACCAGGGCUUGACAUCCCUCUGACAGGCUUGAUAACUUUAGCCUUUCUUCGGACAGAGGAGACAGGUGGUGCAUGGUUGUCGUCUGCUCGUGUCGUGAGAUGUUGGGUUAAGUCCCGCAACGAGCGCAAUCCUUGUCUUUAGUUGUCAUCAUUGAGUUGGGCACUCUAAAGAGACUGCCGGGGACAACUCGGAGGAAGGUGGGGAUGACGUCUAAUCAUCCUGCCCCUUAUGUUCUGGGCUACACACGUGCUACAAUGGUCGGAACAAAGAGCACCAAGACCGGGAGGUGGAGCAAAUCUCAAAAACCGAUCCCAGUUCGGAUUGCAGGCUGCAACUCGCCUGCAUGAAGUCGGAGUUGCUAGUAAUCGUGGAUCACAAUGCCACGGUGAAUGCGUUCCCGGGUCUUGUACACACCG